GCUCAAGGCGAAUAUUAAGCGGGAGAUAAGCUCUCAGAUGUGAAAUUUCGUUCACCAGCUAGCAUACCAUGGAUAGCCCUGUAGUACCAGAGUUGAUCUCUCUAUUCAUGCACAAGCAUCAAUCUGUGUAAGCCGAAAUAUGAGAUGGUGGGAGAAGAACCAAAAAGAAAAGAAGAAAAAAGAGUAAGAAGACACGGAAGAAAA